GGCGGGGUAGCUCAGUUGGUUAGAGCGUGGGACUCAUAAGCCCGAGGUCGUGGGUUCGAAUCCCACCCCCGCUACCA
rnacentral:tRNA from 2 species